rnacentral:lncRNA from 1 species
AUGUGCCGGAAACGCGCCGCGAGCCGGAGCAGCGGGAAGAGGAGGAGGAGGAGGAGGAGGAGGAGGAGGAGGAGGAGGAGGAGCAGCCACGGCCACCGGAACGGCUCCGAAGGGCGCCUUCGGCCUCAGCAUUCCCGGGAAAUUCCCGGGAGAGGCCGAGGAGGAGGAGGAGGAGGAGGAGGAGGAGGAGGAGGAGGAGGAGGAAGGAGGGAAGGACUGGGAGAACAUUCCGGGUUUCUGCUCCAGCAGCGGCGGCGGCGCCGCUUGGAAUCGCUCCGGCAGCGCCUCCAGGCCGGCGCCCUGAGCGGGAAAUGCGGGAUCAGGCAGGGAAUUCCCGGCCCAAAAUUCCUUUUGGAAUUCCCAUCCCAAAAUUCCUUUGAAAUCCCAUCCCAAAAUCUCUUUGGAUCCCAAAAUCCUUUUGGAUCCCGAAAUCCCUUUGGAAUCCCCAUCCAAAAUCCCUUUGGAAUUCCCAUCCCCAAAUCCCUUUGGAAUCCCAGCCGAAAAUCCCUUUGGAUCCCAAAAUCCUUUUGGACUCCGAAAUCCCUUUGGAAUUCCCAACCCAAAAUCCCUUUGGAAUCCCAUCCCAAAAUGCCUUUGAAAUCCCAUCCCAAAAUUCCUCCGGAGCCCAAAAUCCUUUUGGAAUCCCAUCCAGAAACUCCUUUGGAAUCCCAUCCCAAAAUCCCUUCCCAGUCCCAAAAUCCCUUUGGAAUUCCCGGCCCAAAAUCCCUUUCGAAUCCCAUCCCAAAAUUCCUUUGGAUCCCAAAAUCCCUUUGGAAUUCCCAUCCCAAAAUCUCUUUGGAAUCCCAUCCCAAAAUCUCUUUAGAAUUCCCAUGCCAAAAUCCCUUUGGAAUCCCAUCCCAAAAUUCCUUUGGAAUCCCAACCCAAAAUCCCUUUGAAAUCCCAUCCCAAAAUCCCUUCGGAGCCAAAAUCCUUUUGGAAUCCCAUCCAGAAACUCCUUUGGAAUCCCAUCCCAAAAUUCCUCCGGAGCCCAAAAUCCCUUUGGAAUCCCAUCCAGAAAUUCCUUUGGAAUCCCAUCCAAAAAUCCCUUUGGAAUCCCAGCCCAAAAUCCCUUCAGAAUCUCAGCCCAAAAUCCCUUUGGAAUCCCAUCCCAAAACCCCUUUGGAUCACAAAAUCCCUUUGGAAUUCCCAACCCAA